rnacentral:rRNA from 1 species
CUCGUAGUUGGAUUUCUGUGGGGGCGGAGCGGCCGGCCGCAACUCGCGGUUCGAGCUAGCGCUUCCCCUACAUCCUGCCGCGAACCGUGCUACCAUUAGUUUGGUGGCGCCGGGGAUCGGCUCGUUUACUUUGAGAAAAAUAGAGUGUUCAAAGCAGGCCACACGCCUUGAAUAAGUUAGCAUGGAAUAAUAAUAAAGGACUUCGGUUCUAUUUUGUUGGUGUUCGGGACUGAAGUAAUGAUUGAUAGGGACAGUUGGGGCGGUCAGUAUUCCAAAGCGAGAGGUGAAAUUCUUAGACCUUCGGAAGACUAACAGCUGCGAAAGCGUUCCGCAAGGAUGUUCCCUUUGAUCAAGAACGAAAGUUGGGGGAUCGAAGACGAUCAGAUACCGUCGUAGUCUCAACUAUAAACUAUACCAGCUAGGGAUCGGCCAACGUUAAAUUAUCCGACUUGGUCGGCACCUUAUGAGAAAUCAAAGCAUCUGGGUUCCGGGGGGAGUAUGGUCGCAAGGCUGAAACUUAAAGGAAUUGACGGAAGGGCACCACCAGCCGUGGAGCCUGUGGCUUAAUUUGACUCAACACGGGAAAACUUACCAGGUCCAGACAUAGUAAGGAUUGACAGAUUGAUAGCUCUUUCUUGAUUCUGUGGGUGGUGGUGCAUGGCCGUUCUUAGUUGGUGGAGUGAUUUGUCUGGUUAAUUCCGUUAACGAACGAGACCCCAGCCUGCUAAAUAGCGCGGUUGAGCUUUGCUCGGCGCGAGCUUCUUAGAGGGACUAUGAUGCGCGAUAGCACAUGGAAGUUUGGGGCAAUAACAGGUCUGUGAUGCCCUUAGAUGUUCUGGGCCGCACACGGGCUACACUGGCGCCUGCAACGAGCAUAUCAGCUGGCCCGAGAGGGUCUUGGCUAAUCUUUUGAACCGGCGCCGUGCUUGGGAUUGACCAUUGCAAUUGUUGGUCAUGCAACGAGGAAUGCCUUGUAAACGCGAGUCAUCACUCGCAUUGAAUACGUCCCUGCCCUUUGUACACACCGCCCGUCGCUCUACGAUGAUGUUCGAUGAAAUUUUCG